AGUGAACGCUGGCGGCGUGCCUAAUACAUGCAAGUCGAACGGAGUGGCGCACGGGUGAGUAAUGUAUAGCUAAUCUUCCCUACACUAGAGGACAACAGUUGGCAACGACUGCUAAUACUCUAUAGUGUCGGAUGAUGCUAUUUUGUAUCAGCUAGUUGGUGAGGUAAUGGCCCACCAAGGAUAUGACGCAUAACUGGUCUAAGAGGAUUAUCAGUAACACGGUGACUAAGACACGGUACAGAAUCCAACAGGAGGCAGCAGUAGGGAAUAAUGCGCAAGGGGGGAAACCCUAAAGCAGCAACGCCGCGUGGGGGAUGACAAUUUACAGAGCGUAAACUCCUUAUGUUAGGGAAGCGGAACCUAACAAAUAAGAACCGGCUAAAUCCGUGCCAGCAGCCGCGUUAAUAC
rnacentral:rRNA from 1 species